rnacentral:rRNA from 1 species
GUAGGGUGCGAGCGUUAAUCGGAAUUACUGGGCGUAAAGCGUGCGCAGGCGGUUUUGUAAGCCAGAUGUGAAAGCCCCGGGCUUAACCUGGGAAUGGCAUUUGGGACUGCAAGGCUGGAGUGUGGCAGAGGAGACUGGAAUUCCUGGUGUAGCAGUGAAAUGCGUAGAUAUCAGGAGGAAUACCGAUGGCGAAGGCAGGUCUCUGGGCUGACACUGACGCUCAUGCACGAAAGCGUGGGGAGCAAACAGGAUUAGAUACCCUGGUAGUCCACGCCCUAAACGAUGUCGACUGGUUGUUGGGGGUUUGACACUCUCAGUAACGAAGCUAACGCGUGAAGUCGACCGCCUGGGGAGUACGGCCGCAAGGUUA